rnacentral:rRNA from 1 species
GAUGAACGCUGGCGGCGUGCCUAAUACAUGCAAGUCGAGCGAACAGAUGAGGAGCUUGCUCCUUUGACGUUAGCGGCGGACGGGUGAGUAACACGUGGAUAACCUACCUAUACGACUGGGAUAACUUAGGGAAACAGGGGCUAACACCGGCUAAUAUAUUGAACCGCAUGGCUCAAUAGUGGAAGACGGUUUUGCUGUCACUUAUAGAUGGAUCCGCGCCGCAUUCGCUAGUUGGUAAGGUAACGGCUUACCAAGGCAACGAUGCGUAGCCGACGUGAGAGGGUGAUCAGCCACACUGGAACUGAGACACGGUCCAGACUCCUACGGGAGGCAGCAGUAGGGAAUCUUCCGCAAUGGACGGAAGCCUGACGGAGCAACGCCACGUGGGGUAUGAAGGUCUUCGGAUCGUAGAACUCUGUUAUUAGGAAAGAACAAAUGUGUAAGUAACUAUGCACGUCUUGACGGUACCUAAUCAGAAAGCCACGGCUAACUACGUG